UCAUUGUGCUUUAACCAGUGGCCUCGGCCUCCUUGAACACAUUUGCGCUCAUAUUUUUGUAUUUUGUGUUGCAUUGUGGUCCUUGUGACAUCACAGGUGAUAUUAAGCUAUUAGCUCUGAAGAGCUGAGAGAUAAAGCCUAUGAUGAAGGCAGGCAAAGGCAUCCUCUUGAGUUAAUAGUGUUGGCAUCUGAAGCUGGUAGUAUAACACAAGGGAUUGGAGCAUAUCAGGUUGGUGCUAACAAUGUUAACUAGAUUUUUUCUUUCCACUAGGUUGGUGCUGGGCAUCCAAGCUCUUGUGCUAUGUUAUGCAUUCAGUGUGGCACUGCGAAUGUUGCAAGCUGUGUUGCCAGAGUCGUUCUUCACCAUGCGUGCUGUCUUUAUUUGAAGCAAACAAUGAUGAAGGUUCAUUUUGCCCCUUCUUCGGCAUUCUGCAAAGGUCGAUGUUCCUGCUCUCUCUACCAUGCCAAGCAUAGAAGAGUAUAUAUUAGUAGGCAGCCUCCAGGUGUACCAUUAAAUAGUAAUUUCUUAGUGCAUUAGUGAUUGGUGCAGAAUUUGCACCAGUCGAGGUUGUUUGGUCUAAUAAUAAGGUUGAACAUUUUUGCUUGGCAAUGGACGAAGUUUUGGUCUUCAUGUCUGUUGAUCUUGACUGACUGCUGGGCUCAUGCUGAUGAUUGGAUAUUAUUUUGUUUCCAUUGCAAUGCAGGGUACCUCUAUAUAACACACCAAAAUUUGUUGCCAUUCAUUAUGUGAUAAAAGUAUGUGGUUAUUGA